UUGCUUUGGCAGCACAUAUACUAAAAUUGGAACAAUACAAAGAAAAUUAGAAUAACCCCUGUGUAAGGAUGACAUACAAAUUAGACUAUGAGCCACUGGUACAU